GGAUGUUGGAGGUGGUUAUGGGUGAUUUGGUGUUAGGAGAUUCUGUUUGGUUCAUGUUGCUUGUGGCUAUAAGUAUUCUGUGUUCUGACUGCUGUUCUGGUUUUGACUUUUGCCUGGUUCUGACUCGGGAUGCAGAUUUUUCUGGUGAUGGCCCUGUCACCUGUUUGUAAGUGAGGUGGGUUCACUGAAGCGGCAGAGAGAAUCAAGAAUCAUGAUCUUCUUGCAGGACUUCAUUCAAUGCAUUGAAGACAAGGAAGAAGCGGUCUCAGGAGAUAAAGUUAGAGAUAAAGGAGAGAAUAGCUGAAGAUGAAGACAAUGACCAAAAGAGGGGAAAAAACAAAGGAGGGGAAAAAACAAAGAAGGGGACAGAUGGAGAGACAAGACAAGAUCACUGUCAGUAGCAUCAUGCAAUGGAUUACUGGUCAGGCAGCAGAGCAAGAGAAAUUUAAAAUCUAUGUAGAAUUUGAUCAUGAGUGUCGGCUAUACUAUGGUGAACACUGCCUAUGCUAUCCUCUUCUCACUGCAUGCUCUUGUUCUGUGACCUUUACUGCACAGCACCUGGGGACUUACACAGAAUUCCUUUGCAUAAUGAGGUAGGCUAUAAACAACAGCAGGGAAUUUGGUCGUUCAUG
ensembl:lncRNA